AGGGAAUAUUGCACAAUGGGCGAAAGCCUGAUGCAGCAACGCCGCGUGUGCGAUGAAGGCCUUCGGGUCGUAAAGCACUUUUCUGGGAGAUGAGAAAGGACAGUAUCUCAGGAAUAAGUCUCGGCUAACUACGUGCCAGCAGCCGCGGUAAAACGUAGGAGGCAAGCGUUAUCCGGAUUCACUGGGUGUAAAGCGCGUGCAGGCGGUUCGGUAAGUUGGGCGUGAAAUCUCCUGGCUCAACUAGGAGAGGUCGUUCAAUACUACCGGACUUGAGAGUGGUAGAGGAAGAUGGAAUUCCCGGUGUAGUGGUGAAAUGCGUAGAUAUCGGGAGGAACACCAGUGGCGAAGGCGAUCUUCUGGACCAUUUCUGACGCUCAGACGCGACAGCUAAGGUAG
rnacentral:rRNA from 1 species